rnacentral:rRNA from 1 species
UACGGAGGGUGCAAGCGUUAAUCGGAAUUACUGGGCGUAAAGCGCACGUAGGCGGCUUUCUAAGUCGGGGGUGAAAUCCUGGAGCUCAACUCCAGAACUGCCUUCGAUACUGGAGCUUGAGUCCGGGAGAGGUGAGUGGAACUGCGAGUGUAGAGGUGAAAUUCGUAGAUAUUCGCAAGAACACCAGUGGCGAAGGCGGCUCACUGGCCCGGUACUGACGCUGAGGUGCGAAAGCGUGGGGAGCAAACAGGG